rnacentral:rRNA from 1 species
UACAGAGGGGGCAAGCGUUGUUCGGAAUUACUGGGCGUAAAGGGCGCGUAGGCGGCCACCUAAGUCAGACGUGAAAUCCCUCGGCUCAACCGGGGAACUGCGUCUGAUACUGGGUAGCUUGAAUUCGGGAGAGGAAUGCGGAAUUCCAGGUGUAGCGGUGAAAUGCGUAGAUAUCUGGAGGAACACCGGUGGCGAAGGCGGCAUUCUGGACCGACAUUGACGCUGAGGCGCGAAAGCCAGGGGAGCAAACGGG